AUGCGACCCCAGGAUGGGCGAGGCCACCCGCCGAGUUUAA
rnacentral:rRNA from 1 species